AGAGUCAAAUCACUUGGGUGCUGGGAAAAGGCACAUUUCACACCGGCAGGAAGGUCCAAGAAUGAGAUUAAAAAUUCCACACAUGUCCAAAUUCUAGGUAUGAGAGUCAAUGCCUGCUGUAUGUUGCUUCUAUAUACAUGAGCCACAAUCUCUACAAUGGACUGAAUCCACUCAUGAGAGCCUCAAUUUUUUCUGUGUACUGUGUUCCUUUAUUAGAAUCACAGUCUCACAGGUGUGCUAGAUUUUUGUCUGAGAGAAAUCAAUCAAUCUGUGGACCAGAUCCACUUAUGAGAGUCAAUUUUCCAACUUUUGACUGUCUCCAGGUAUGAGAUUCAGAACUUCAACAGUGGGCUGUGAAAGGCCCAGGCAGAAGAGAAGAGUCAUAUCAUCUAGGUGAUCAAUAAACAGGCAUGGCCCAGGGAGGAGAGAAGAUUCAUAUCACCUAAGAUCUGGAUUCAUGGAUAUCUCCCAAUUUCUUUUUUGGGCAAUGAUCAGGCUUGAGUGUGAAAAAAUAUAAACCAAAAUGUCAACUUCAGCAUGCAGGAAGAAGCAUAGGAGAAUAGAGAGAAAAAAGAACAAAGAAGAAAAAUAACAGCAAGUCAUCCUAAGUAUUGUAGAAACAAACUGAAAUUGUGGUUAGAGAAAAAAAAAGAAAGAAAGAAAUAUAAGAUUCUAUUUGUCACAGGGACUCGAGAGGCUGAGAUGGGAAGACCACCCAGGCAAGACAGGGGAGAUUGAUGCCAAAAUGAAUCAUGAUCGCAUUUCUCUCCUGAGCCUGAACUGUACUGCUUCUGGUGAGAGCCAUCUGGUCGACCUUAGACAUGGAAAGGCGAGAGCCAUCUGGUUGAAUGUAGACAUGACAAGCUGGCGGCUAAGUCCAAUGCUUGUAGCCAACAUCUGUCCCAAAAUAAAUAAAUUUUUAAAAUGAGCAAAUAUAUAACAGUAACAAAUAAAUAAUAACAAACAAUAUUAAAGACCAGUACAUAAAUAAGUGGGAGUGAACAAUGGUAAAAGGUAAUUAAUAUCACAAUUAAGAUUUCCUUCCUCUCUCUGUUUGUCACACCCAGGCUGGAGAGUGACAAAAAAAUAAACCGAAAAGUCAACUUCGGUGUGCAGGAAGGAGCAUAGGAGAAUACAGAAAGAAAAGAACAAAGAAGAAAAUCAAUGGCAAGUAACUCUAAGUAUUGAGAAAACAACCUAAAAUUAGGGUUAGGGAAAAAAAAAAAAAAAAAAACAGAGGAAGAAGGACCCUGUCAUCCCAGAUACUCGGGAGGCUGAGAUGGGAAGACAACCUGUGCGAGACCGAGGAGAUAGAGGCCGAAGUGAAUGAUGAUCACACCCUUCUGCUGGAUCUGAAUGGUACUGCCGCUAGCUAUAGCCAUCUGGUAGACCUAAGAUAUGGGCAGGCGAGAGCCAUCUGGACGACUUUAGACAUGGCAAGGCUGGAUUGUGACAAAAAUAAAUCAAAAGGUCACUGUGCAGGAAGGAACAUAAAGAAACAGAGAAAGAAAAGAACAAAGAAGAAAAACAACAGCAAGUCACUCUAAAUAUUGUGGAAACAAACUGAAAUUGAGGUUAGAAAAACAACACAGGAAGGUCCAAGUAGUCCCAGGUACUUGGAAAGCCGAGAUGGGAAGACCACCUGAGGGAUACUGGGGAGAUUGAGGCUCCAGUGAAUCACGAUUACAUCCCUCUCCUGGAUAUGAAUGGUACUGCCGCUAGUGAGAUCCGUCUGGUCAAUCUUAGACAUGGGAAGGCGAGAGCCAUCUGAUCGACCUUAGACCUGGCAAGCUGGUGGCUAAUUCCAAUGCUUGCAGCCAACAUGUGUCUCAAAAUAAAUUUGUAAAACUACCAGUAAAUAUAGAACAAUAACAAAUAAUAACAAUAUUAAAGACCAAUACAUAAAUAAGCGGGUGUGAACAAUAGUGAAAGAUAAUAUCACAAUUAAGAUCUCUCUCUCUCCUCCGUUUGUCACACUCAGGCUGGAGUGUGACCAAAAGUAAACGAAAACAUCAACUUCAGCGUGCAAGAUGGAGCAUAGAAGAAUAGAGAGAGAAAAGAACAGCGAAGAAAAACAACAGCAAAUCACGCUAUGUAUUGUGGAAACAAACUGAAAUUGGGGUUAGAAAAACAACACAGGAAGAAGGUUCAUGUAUUCUCAGGUACUUGGGUGGCCCAAUUGGAAAGAUCAGCCAGGUGAGACCAGGGAGACUGAGGCUGCAUUGAAUCACAAUCACAUCUUUCUGCUGGACCUGAAUGAUACUGCCGCCAGCCAGAGCCAUCUGGACGGCCUUAGACGUGGGAAGGCGAGAGCCAUCCGUUCGACCUCAGACAUAGCAAGGCGAUAGCCAUCUGGUCAACCUUAGACAUGGGAAGGUGAGAGCCAUCUGGUCGACCUUAGGCAUGGCAAGCUGUGGACUCAUUCCAAUGCUUCUGGCUGAGAUGGGAAGAUCACCUGGAUGAGACUGGGAAGAUCGAGGCUGCAGUGAAUCACAAUCCCAUCUCUGUUGGACUUGAACAGCACUGCCGCCGGUGUGAGCCAUCUGGUCGACCUUAGGCAUGAAAAAGCAAGAGCCAUUUGUCAUGUCUCCACCUCAGACAUGACAAGGUGAGAGCCAUCUUGUCAACCUUAGACAUGGCAAGGCAAAAGCCCUCUGGUCGGCCUCAGACAUGGCAAGGGGAGAGCCAUCUAGUCAACUUCAGACAUGGCAAGGCGAGAGCCAUCUGGUCAACCUCAGACAUGAAAAGGCAAGAGCCAUCUGGUCGACCUGAGACACGGCAAGGUGAAAGCCAUCUGGUUGAUCUCAGACAUGGAAAAGUGAGAGCCAUCUGGUCGACCUUAGACAUACCGAAGCAAAUGCCCUGUGGUUGACUGUAGACAUGGCAAAGUGAGAACUUUCUGGCCAAUUUCAGACAUGGCCAGGCUAGAGCCUUCUGGUGGACCACAGACAUGGCAAGAGGAGAACUGUCUGGUCGACCUGAGACAUGAAAAGGUGAGAGCCAUCUGGUCGAGCUCAGACAUGUCAGAGUGGCAUCUGGUUGACCUCAGACAUGGCAAAGCAAGAGCGAUCUUGUUGACCUCAAACAUGGCAUGGUGAGAGCCAUCUUGGCCACCUUAGGCACGGCAAGGUGAGAGCCAUCAUGUCAACCUCAAACAUGGGAACACAAAAGCCAUUUGGCUGACCUUAGACAUGGCAAGGCAAGAGCCAUCUGGUCGACCUAAGAUAGGGCAGGGCAAGGGCCAUCUGGCCCACCUCAGAAAUGGCAAGGUGAGAGCCAUCUGGACAACAUGUGACAUGGCAAGGCAAGAACCAUCUCGUUGACCUCAGACAUGGCAAGGCAAGAGCCAUCAGGAAGACUUCAAACAUGGCAAGGUGAGAGCCAUCUCAUCGUCCAUAGGGAUGGCAUGGUGAGAGCUAUCUUGUCCACUUACACAUGGCAAGGUGAGAGCUAUCUCAUCGUCCUUAGGGAUGGCAUGGUGAGAGCUAUCUUGUCCACUUACAUAUGGCAAGGUGAGAGCUAUCUUGUUGACCUCACACGUGGCAAGGUGAGAGCCAUCUGGUUGACCUUAGACAUGGCAAGGUGAAAGUCAUCUGGUUGACCUUAGACAGGGAAGGGUGAGAACCAUCUUGUCCACCUAGAUAUGGCAAUGCAAGAGCCAUCUGGUCGACUUCAAUCAUGGCAGCUGAGGGCCAUCUGGUCAACCCCAAAAAUAGGAAGGCAAGUGCCAGCUAGUCGAUCUUAGACAUUGCAAGGUGAGAGUUAUCUAGUGGAACUUAGACAUGGCAAGCAGGUGGCUAUUUCAGUGCUUGAGGCUGACAUCUGUAUCAAAAUAAAUUUAAAAACCAACUAUAUAUAUAUAAUAUCAAACAAUAAUAAAAUCCAAAUAAAGUGGGAGUGAGCAAUAAUAAAAGGUAAUUAAUAUC